GUGUGUGUGUGUGUGUGUGUGUGUGUGUGUGUAUGUAUAUAUAUAUAUAUAUACAUAUAUAUAUAUAUAUACACACACACACACUCAUACACUG